rnacentral:rRNA from 1 species
UACGAAGGGGGCUAGCGUUGCUCGGAAUUACUGGGCGUAAAGGGCGCGUAGGCGGACAGUUUAGUCGGGGGUGAAAGCCCGGGGCUCAACCUCGGAAUUGCCUUCGAUACUGGCUGUCUUGAGUACGGGAGAGGUGUGUGGAACUCCGAGUGUAGAGGUGAAAUUUGUAGAUAUUCGGAAGAACACCAGUGGCGAAGGCGACACACUGGCCCGUUACUGACGCUGAGGCGCGAAAGCGUGGGGAGCAAACAGG